AACGAACGCUGGCGGCAUGCCUAACACAUGCAAGUCGCACGGACGUAGCAAUACGUUAGUGGCGCACGGGAGAGUAACACGUGGGAAUCUACCUUUUAGUUCGGAACAACACCGGGAAACUGGUGCUAAUACCGGAUACGCCCCGAGGGGGAAAGAUUUAUCGCUAAAAGAGGAGCCCGCGUCUGAUUAGCUAGUUGGUGAGGUAAUGGCUCACCAAGGCGACGAUCAGUAGCUGGUCUGAGAGGACGAUCAGCCUCACUGGGACUGAGACACGGCCCAGACUCCUACGGGAGGCAGCAGUGGGGAAUAUUGGACAAUGGGGGAAACCCUGAUCCAGCAAUGCCGCGUGAGUGAUGAAGGUCUUCGGAUUGUAAAGCUCUUUUGGCAGGGACGAUGAUGACGGUACCUGCAGAAUAAGCUCCGGCUAACUUCGUGCCAGCCGCCGCAGUAA
rnacentral:rRNA from 1 species